GCCCCCAAACUUCCGGUACGGACUAGCGGCCUAGUGCACGUGUGAGCAGGUGAGUUGAGCUCAGGUGAAGCAGAUGGUCGAUCGGAACCGCCCCUGGACCAGUUUAUCAAGCAGACUCUGAUCGAUCAGCAGGCAGUUUCUGAGCUUCUGGAUCUUCAUUUCUGAUCCUCAGCCCAACCUUUCUGACUGGUGGUUCCCAACAGAACAGUCCACCUGUUUCCUGCAGUUUUGAUAAUCAUAGAAAAGCUUUGAUGAGAAGAUCUGAUCAACCCACCACCCUGUCUGGUCUGACCUCCUCCUACCACUGAAGACCAAUAGUAAAUGGAUCAUGGUCUGCUGCUGUGCCUAGGUGAUGGGAGACUCUCGGCUCCAGGUGGAGGACCUGCUUGCUCUCGUUCUGCAGAGGAUCAAUAUGGAGGAGAGCAGCAUGGCUGGAGAGAGAGACUUCCUCGAUGUGGUCAAGAACUUUGAGUCAGUGAGGAAGAGCUGGCUGCGAGCAGAGCUGGAGCUGAAGAAGUACAAAGAGCUGUUGGUGAAGUCUGACGUGGCCAAGGCUGCUCUGGAGAUCAAGCUUAAACACGCUCGGAACCAGUUGGAUGUGGAGAUGAAGAAACGGCACAAGAUCGAGGCCGACUACCAAUACCUGGGGGUUCUGAUGGCUCCGACUCUUCUCCUACAGAAGAGGCAGAUGCAACUCAUGUGUGACAUCCUGGUCCAGGACAGUAAAUCCAGCGCCUGUCUGAAUGAUGAGCAAAAAUCCCUCUUAGCCACCUUCGACCACCGUGGAGGCAACAUUACUCUGCAUAGGAGCAGCAAGCGGUUGUCAGUGAUUGAUGAGUCAUCCUUCCUGUCUCACUCCGACAUCAGCUACGACCGCACCGAUGACGAUGUGGACUUGGACACAACUGUGAUCAAACCUCUGAGGUCUCGAGCCCGAGAGCGGAGGCGCUCUUCCAUGGGCCUGGUGGUUGGAGGUCCAGUUGGGAAGCGGAACAGAAGUGCAAAUGUGUCUGCAGAGUUUCAGGAGAGAAAAAUGGUUGAGAAGGAAGUAGAAACCAUUGUGAAGGCAUCCGUGACAACUCCUGAUGCAGGUGGACAGAUCCACAUGGUUCUGGGAAUUACACAAGAAAGUCCUGAUAACCCGGUUCGAUCCUUCACCCAGGAGUUUGCUGUUUCAGUCGGGGGAGGAGGAGAUCAAACAUCCUUGUGGAAUUCUAACGACGAGACCUUGGUGGAGCUUCAAGCUCCUGUAGAGGACAGAAACCUUCCAACCGGCAGACCUCAGAAGACCUUAAGACAUGUGUUUCUGUCUAAAACGGUGAUCCGGCCAGAAACCUGCGUGCCAUGUGGAAAGAGGAUCCGCUUUGGGAAGAUGGCUGUAAAAUGCAGGAACUGUCGGCUGGUUGCUCAUCCGGAGUGCAAACAGAAUUUCCUAAACGGCUGCUCGACCUCCAGCGGUGUUACAGGAAGUGGAUCUCAGAUGGUCCGUGUCGAACAUAAGGACUCUCUGGAGGCUUUUGCUCCAUUGACUCAUCCCAGAGUUCCUCAGCUCAUCGUGGACUGCGUGGCUGAAAUAGAGAGGAGGGGUCUGCAGGAGAGAGGUCUUUACCGGGUUCCCGGAGGCGAGCGUCCUGUGAGGGAUCUCAGAGAUCGGAUCCUUCAGGGGAAAUCAUCUGUGAUGCUCAGUAAAGUCCAGGACAUCCACGUAGUCUGUGGCUUCCUGAAGGAUGUCCUGAGGAGACUGAAGGAACCCCUAAUCACCUUCAGGCUACACAGGACCUUUAUGGAGGCUUCAGAGCUGGAUGAGGACAGCGGUUCUGCUGUUCUGUACCGAGCCAUCUCUGAACUGCCGAAGGCCAAUAGAGACACCCUGGCUUUCCUCAUGAUUCACUUACACAAAGUGAUGAGGAGUCCACCUUGUCAGAUGGACCAGAACAACUUGGCCAGAGUGUUUGGACCAACCAUAGUGGGUCACAGCAUAUCUGAGCCAUCUCCAACAACCAUCAUGAGAGAUGCCACCAUUCAGCCAAAGGUUGUCUGCUGCCUGCUGUCUCUUCCUGAAGACUACUGGAGACGAGUCCUCACAGUGGGAAUAGACCAGAACCCGUCUACAUCCUCCUCUAGUCGCUUGUUUCAGCCACUGACCUCUCCAGAGCUAAACAACUUCUACAAAAUGACCAGUCCGGGAUCAGUGCGAGGAAGAAUCGGAAACAUGGGAUGCACCAUCAGCAACACUCUCCCUGGAUGUCUUCCUUUACCAACCUAAACAUUUUGUUGGGACUCAGCAGACUGGGAACAACCAGGAUCUUUGUCUACACUGAGCUAAUUUCCAUUCUCAGAGGAGCUUUAGAACCCUUUCCAGUGUUUCAUUUGACGACUUGCUUUGGGUUUCCUAUCAGUUAGCUCGUUAAGAGAUCCACCAGAGCCUGGAAGAAAGUUCUUCACUUCACCCAACUGACCAACACGAAGUACUGGCCCUCCCAAGCUUGAACUGACAUGCUUAAGUUUUUUUUUUUUCAGAAUAAAACUUGAAUGGUUUUUAUGUAAACAAUGUUUUUGCUGUUAAAGAAAAGAAAAUGUAGCCGUUUGUCCUAAAUGCUAAAGUAAUAAAUGUGAAAUAAAAGUUUUUUUCUGGCAGAAUA